GGGAGGUAGACAUGAGGAGAUAAGGGAAUCGGAGGAAUAUGGUCAGGAUAAUGAAUUGGUUGAGCAGUAGAUAAGAAGCUGAGGAGGAGGAGGAGAUAUGUUGAAAGCAUUUAAUACUUUUUGAAAAGUAUAUACCAUCAUGGCAUUACUCUCAGAGAUGGUGAUUGGAAUGAGAUGCACAUAGGACUUGAAUUUAUGAGAAAGUCAUUAUAUCAACCAAAACAACACCCGUUAUGGCUUUUAUCAAUAAAUCCGACGUUUAUACAGUAUCCAGCAGGCCCAAAGUGACAUGAUCCAAAUUCUAGUAUUAUUUUUAUAGCACACGUUUGAAAAGAAAGCAGCGAUGCUGAAUCAAUGCUUGAGGCUAAUAAACGAAGUGUGCAUAUUGAGUGGCCAUGAGACGCACCAGGUCCAAUGCCUGAGUCACAAAGACAAAUUGAAUAGCCAUGUGUGUUUAUUGGCUUAACUCUGCCUAAAAUAAAUAUUCCUUCUUUACCGUACUUGUUUCUAGAACAGAUUCUGGUUCAAACAAAUGUUACUGUUAAAAGAGGUUGUUGUGUUUUACGGUGAGGAUGUUAUUACGGUAGCUGCUUUUUUAAAACGUAUAUUUAUUCCAAAAUGUCAUUGCCAUUACUCAUGUUAUUGUAAGCUUGAUGACGGCGUGACCCCGAGAUUCCAGUUAAAAAUCACGUGCAUCAUCGUCACUGGAUCUAAAAAUGGGAUUAGUUGCCGGCAUGUGACCUUUUACAGAAAGGGGAAAUAUUGGGAGAUGGAAGAAAGAUCAGUGACGGAUUGAGUGUGUCGUUUCAUUUCUGCUAUUAUAGCCUCCGCUGGUGUUGUUGCUGCUCUUGCUCUGCUUUUCGUGAUUGUUAUAGUUGUUUGCUUUCUACAAAACCUUUGCAAACGCACUUCUGGAAACUUCUGUUGCAAUACAUCGUGGUGAAGAUGGAUUCAAGGCGUACGGUACACUUUGCACCUAGAAUACAGCCAACAAUGUCCUACUUCCUGGUCUGUCUCCACCCGCGAGCUCAAAGCUCAAAGCUCAAGGAGCUGUCGCCCCGCAACGACUUGAAGGUCAUUCUUUACAGAGCCCUUGGAUUACGAAGUGUGAUCCCAUCGAACGCCAGGAGGCCGGAGACAAAAGAGGAGGCUGCGGUGUACUAAAAAGUUGGUAGAAAGAAAGCGACAAAAGCAUGAAUGGUUCAAGAGGAAAACACAUGCCAG